rnacentral:rRNA from 1 species
UACGUAGGGUGCGAGCGUUAAUCGGAAUUACUGGGCGUAAAGCGCACGUAGGCGGCUUUGUAAGUUAGAGGUGAAAGCCCAGGGCUCAACCCUGGAAUGCCGGUGGAUACUGUAGAGCUUGAGACCGGAAGAGGUAAGUGGAACUGCGAGUGUAGAGGUGAAAUUCGUAGAUAUUCGCAAGAACACCAGUGGCGAAGGCGGCUUACUGGUCCGGUUCUGACGCUGAGGCGCGAAAGCGUGGGGAGCAAACAGG